GAAAAUUAAAACGUAAUGUCCUAGAAAUUGUAUAUAAAACUCAGCAAAUUGUAGAUAUGUGAUAUAGCAAGUCUUUACAAAGUAGAGACACAAUGUAUCAUAAACUUGUGUUGUAAGAGGCCAUGUGACCUUCUGCUUGUUUUUAUCCUGCCUUUCUUGUACAAGCAAUGAGGUUGUGAAUCAUUUACACAAGUGUGAAAGGUAGGUGUGAAGCAUUUACACAAGUGUGAAAGUUAGGGUGUAAAGCAUUUACACAAGUGUGAAAGGUUAGAUGUAAAUCAUUUAUACAAAAUAGUAUGAUUGAAGUAAAUUAUUUACACA
rnacentral:lncRNA from 1 species